AUAAGGUGAGAAGCUCAGUCAUCCGUGGGGAGCUCAGAAUAGAGCCACUACUCCUUUGUGUUGAAAUGCGGCAGCUCAGGUGGUUCGGGCAUCUGGUAAGGAUGAUCCCUGGGCAUCUUCCUAGGGAGGUGUUCCAGGCAUGUACAGCUGGGAGGAGACUCUGGGGAAGAUCCAGGCCUAGCGCAUUUGGAAAGGAUG